rnacentral:tRNA from 1 species
GAGGGUAUAGCUCAAGUGGUAGAGCACAUGCUUAGCAUGCACGAGGUCCUGGGUUCAGUCCUAGUACCUCCA